rnacentral:rRNA from 1 species
CCGAUAGUGAACCAGUACCGUGAGGGAAAGGCGAAAAGAACCCCGGCGAGGGGAGUGAAAAAGAACCUGAAACCGUGUACGUACAAGCAGUGGGAGCACAGGUUUACCUGUGUGACUGCGUACCUUUUGUAUAAUGGGUCAGCGACUUAUAUUCUGUAGCAAGGUUAACCGAAUAGGGGAGCCGGAGGGAAACCGAGUCUUAAUUGGGCGUUAAGUUGCAGGGUAUAGACCCGAAACCCGGUGAUCUAGCCAUGGGCAGGUUGAAGGUUGGGUAACACUAACUGGAGGACCGAACCGACUAA